UACGAAGGGGGCUAGCGUUGCUCGGAAUCACUGGGCGUAAAGGGUGCGUAGGCGGCUUUGCAAGUUAGAGGUGAAAGCCCAGGGCUUAACCCUGGAAUUGCCUUUAAAACUGCAUCGCUAGAAUUGUGGAGAGGUAAGUGGAAUUCCGAGUGUAGAGGUGAAAUUCGUAGAUAUUCGGAAGAACACCAGUGGCGAAGGCGACUUACUGGACACAUAUUGACGCUGAGGUGCGAAAGCGUGGGGAGCAAACAGG
rnacentral:rRNA from 1 species